GGCCGUUAUGGCCUACAAAUCAAUCAAUCCGUUUAUUAUACCAGAAUAGUACACUUCUAAUACAUAGAUCUAUCACUUCUGAUACUGUAAAUUAGUUCCUGCAGGUCCCUACAUAUAAGUAAUUAGUUAAACGACUUGUGUCUUUUCAUAAUCUACGAUACAGCCACAAAGAUUGAUUGUUUUCACAUCUGCACGAAAGGGAUUUACUUCCGGAGCCUUGUUCAUCUGGAAAACCUUAUUAUGCAGUAUUAUCCCAAUCACGAGCGGGAGCUCAUCGCACAUAGUACUACCUUCAACGUACUACCCAAAAAUACCACAGCGGCUUGCUUAAACCUAAGUCCUAACGCCUUAAGAAAACACUACCAUCUGGCUCCAAAAAAAUACCAAAAUACCAUACCAAAAUUUGAUCCCAGCGCCAAUAUGGAUAAUCUGCAGGUCCGAGAAGAUACACACGUCAGUAUGUCAUCGUGUUUUCACUUCUGUUAUUUAAUAAGUUUUUAGUUACAUACUUGAUAUUUAUUUAGUAAAGAUCUAUUUGUUUAUCAGUAGCGGUACAGAAAAUAUAUUUGGAAAUUUGCAGCUAAUUCAGCGUCUGCACUCUGCAGCGAUCUUUAAGAAAUAACAGUACACAGUAACAGAGGCUUUUUGCAGAAAACACCAUAACCAUACCUUUACCAUCACUUAUCUGGUAGCUAGACGACCGCCAUCGAAGUGGCAGUGUGCAGGAUACCUUAGAACAGGCGCAACUGAUUUUUGGGAGUCUUCGAAUUUAAUUUUUUUUCUCGUGCGACGUAGCUUUGGUUCCUUCGAAACAUUAAAAUUCAAGUUCUCUGAUGUUUUCUGUGCUUGGAAAGUCCACCUCUAGUGAAGUUAAAGUGUUCAGAAAUUAAGAGGAGCCGCUGGAAGUCGGCUACCAUACAAUGAGUUUGUAUGGUAUCCGCACUUACCAUACGCUCGCACUUAACCAUACGCUAUGGCUAAGUGUAUGGCUAUGGUUAAGUGGAGCAGUUGCAAAAAGCCUCUGUACUAUAUUAAUUGCGAAUUUUCUGUACUAUAUUAAUUGCGCUACAGUAGGUUUUACGCAUGGAACUCAUGCUUAACCGGUCAUAAUUCCGAAAUAAUAACACUCUGUUAUUAACGGUCGAUCCGGAUAGAAUGGUACAUGACCGCAUUAAUUUUGAAACAAACAAAAGUUAUAAUUCGCUCUAUUUUGUUACAAAAUUUGUUCAUUGUGACUGGCGUGUGUUAAUGAAAGGAUCACUGUGUAUAUUCCAGUGAUCGAAUGCCAGUACUUAUCUAUGUAUUGUACCACUACAAUAUGUAUCUUUUGCUUGAAAGCCAAGUCCCAAGGCAAAUUAUGACUAGCGAAUGCCGAUGUCCCAUUUUUCUUAUGCUAAAGUGUUUGGAUUAAGCGUUCCUUUUGAAACAAGCUCGUUUUUAUGUGCUUUUGUAAAAUAUGAUCCACCGCGGUACAAAGGUAAACAGAGCGGAGAUGUUCCCAGUAAGGCUGGAUGCUUGUUUGCGGAUUAGACGGAUCUUCGCCUCGUGGGAGCCCGGCUGUUGGCUGGUGAUUAUCAACACCACAUUCGAUCCCUUGGCGCUUACGCCGAAUGUCAAUAUGGCAUUCGGAUCAUGAUCAGGAUCAAUGCCUCGCAGUGUGUAAAUAACACUUCCUGCACCAAAUCACAAAACUACUGUAGUGAUGCCAUUAGUGAGGUCAUCGUGAUGCCAUUAAAAUUACUUAUAGUACAAUGGCUGAUGAAAUUUCGACGACUGUUACCAAUUUCCAAUCCGAGCUGCAGUUAAAACAGCUGAAAACGAUGUAAACUGUAAACUUAACCAUGGCAGUACGAUACCAUUAAGGCAAAAAAGCGACAUGCCUACUUCCGGUGCUACGUCUCGAUAAGGUAAGCCAUCCACCAGCGCAAUGCUUUACGGCUCGUAGUCUCCCUAGGUUGCUAUGAUAAACGCUUUGAGGUUUUUUCAAAUUCAAAACGAGUGACUCACAGUUUAGAAGAUAGAGAAAAAAAUUUAAAGAUUUCUGAUGCAUAGUUUGCUUGGAGUUUGGGCUGACUGGAGGUUACAGAAAGGUUCUAGAGUAGAGUGUAAGCAGUUUGCUUACGACGGUCGUGCGGUCUGGACCGACCGCUGCAUUGACUUUGUAUGCUAUCUCGAUUUGCUUUCGAAACAUUUGAAAAACCUCAGUUCGCUUUGUUUUAAUACUGAAAACGUUUGCACCAGAAAACGUAAAAUUUUUUGGGCUUUCUUUGAGCUAUACCAUGAUAAUUUUGUUGAACGAUGAAGCGAAAUACUGUACGUUUACCAUACAACUGUUAUCUGCAGUACGGCCAAAUGAUGGACCUUCUAUGAAAAAUACUGUUUUUAUACAAAAUUAAGCAGUUCGAUUUAUUUCCAGAAAAUUACAAUGACAGUAAAUAAGUAACUUUUCCGCAAAAUAACGAGCUCAGUAAAUUUGUCUAGAAUCCAUCAAUAUGAAAAACCGAAAGAAAAAUCUGAUGUUUAUAAUACAUGAUUGCCAAGAGCGGCAUACAGAUACAUCCCAUGGCUAAUAACUGUGACCUUUUCAUCCUAGCAAUUAAUUCGUAAGCAGCACUAAUUACGCUAGUCCAGCCAUAAAAAAUUAUCCUCUUUUAGGUAAAGCGUCUAAUCUAGGGUAGUCUAAGAAAUUACGUAAUUACAACGCGAAAACCUGUAAAAAAUUUAGGUUUGCUACAGAAUACUAUCAUGUUUAGCUACCACGUUUACUAAUAAAAACUUUGCCCACGCUGGUUUAAGCACACAUAGUAUCGCGUUUAACUCAGUGAUGGGUUACUGCAUGAGUAGACAGUAAGUAAAGAAGAGUUACUCAGUAAACAGUAGCCUAAUAUUAAGCAUUCAGUAACCAUUAACGUUUUGGGCCUGAAGUAACAGUAAGUAAGGUUUCUAAAAUAACAGUAAAAGUAAGUAAAAAGUAGGGAAAAGUUUUGGCUGGCGAUAUUUGUACUGAUAAUACGAUUUUUAUUGAAAUUUCUAACGAUUUCGCUAUAAAUUUGCUCGUCACCUUCGCGCUUCGCGCGAAAUUUGCUUUCUAACAUAAGUUUUAGCCGUUGGUACUUAACUUACUGAGUAAGUAAUCUUUAAGGUGAAUUAGUUUACAGUAAGUAAAAGUAGCGUUUGUGGCAGCGAAAAAGUAACAGUAAAGUAAGUCAAAAGUAUCGCAACAGUAAGAGUAAGUAAGAGGUCCAAAAAACUCAGUAACCCAUCACUGGACUUUAACUUUAAUCGAAAUCGUAAAUACUGAAGUGCGACCAUGAGGCCCAUAUGUCGCACCUUCUGCGGCUGAGCCUAACCGACGGGAUUAUCAGUAAACCCAUAAUCCACGAUUCCACCCUGAAUAUCGGUGACGAGGGCGAUGAGACGUCAAAUGUAAUGUACUAAACGGCAUUACAGCGUAAUUUAAAAACGGCAAGGGUGACUGGUAUCCAGCAUAUAACAAUUACAGUGUAAAUUAACGCCAAACUUAAAAUUUUCAAUAUUUUAUAAUUAAUAGUUCUCGUAUAAAAAUUUAACUUACAAUAAUGUUACUGGUAUAGGCGCUUCAGUGCUGCAGUUGGAUUUCGCCAAUAUCAUUUCGCCUUACAAAGAAAAUCGUAAACCCCUUAUUGCUUUUGCAGUCCAGCAAGCAGUUUAUCACAUGUGACCGGCGAAGACUACGUGCCCAAACUCUAGGAAUUCAGAUACGAAACUUCAAAUCGGGCACUGACAUCUGAAAUGGAUUAAAACCAGUUGCUCAAUGUUUAUUUUAUUACUGUGACAUUCUGCAAUAAAAAUAUUAAAAUAGUGGAUACUAUUAUUGUUCUAUGACAUGUUUUUACGACCGUUGACGUUUGCUGCAGGGAUCGGUAGGCCUAGGAACAAAAACAAAAUACAAUUUUUUCAACUUUUUUUUGUAGCCUCAAUUUGUCGAUUGCAGUACUACCUAUUACGUGGCCGUGAAACGCCCCACCCGGCACCGUCAUCGGACCCGCGACAAAGACCAGGGCAUUUACGGAAUGAUCCACUUCGACGAACUGGACAACGCCAAGACAUUUAAAGUGGAGAUGCUGAACGCCAACACCGGCACCGGCCGCAUCAUUCUCACCGGUCCGCUAGGCUACGAGACACAGCCCAUGUACCAGCUGCGCAUCAUCGCCAUGGACGGGACACCGGCGCUGCAGCGCAUCAACACCGCCACCCUGGGGGUGGUGGUGCAGGUGCUGAAUACCCAGGACACGCCCUCCGCAAUUCAUCAUCUAUCCCAGCCUGCAGUAUGUCGCAGACAUUGUCGCGAUUGGGAAGGAGGUGUUUAAUGUACUGGCGCAGGCGGUGACCGUGGGAUACCGAAACCCAUACAGUAUUCCCUGCAGCCGGCCAAUUCACCCUUUGCCAUCGAUCCGCAGACCGGUGUGGUGUAUGCAUCGCAACCGUCAGAUCGCGAGGCACACACCAUCGGUGGGACCAUGGGGUUGACGAUUGUUGCCACGGAGCUGCCGGUCACACCGGGAAUUUCGGCAUCGGUGCAAGUCAGUAUUAUUAUCGAGGAUGUUAACGACUGUCUCCCGCAAUUUUAUAACGGCAUCCACCCAACCGACACUUAUUCAGCUUCCAUCCCUGAAAACCGGCAGUCGGCGCUUUAGUCAACAUUGAACCGGGUAUCACGCCGCGCGUUUUUGAUUCGGACCAGGGCAUCAACGGCUCCUUUGUCCUGACCAUCACCGUUGGGAUAAAAUUUUCGCUUAAGAAUCACUAAGUUUAACACGUAUUUUGAAUAUUUAAAAUCUGCGCGUUAUUUGGCAGCUGUCACAAAUACUGCCAAACUGCCCGUCGCCUGCUCACCGCCUCGGUAUGCUAUUCCGGUGCUGCCACUCACGCAGAUUCAAGAUAAAAAUUACCACAAACGAUCAUUCUGCAAAUCUGCACGCUGCAGUAGUCUGCUUGCGAAUAAGUUCCUUGAUUUUUUUUUAUAUCCUGGAUUUGUUGUGAUUUUAAUAACAUUUUGUGAUUGCUUGUGGGUGUUUUACCUUCCUCGUGACAAAAUCAUGCAGGCCCCCCCCACCAGCGAAUACUAUGGUGAUUACGCGAUCCUAUUUGAUGUUCCGUCGGACUGCGAACGUCCCGCAACCUGCGGGUUGGUUGGACGAUGGGGGGCAGUUCUUUGCCCGUUACGGUCUCGGAGCGUGGCGACGAUACGCAAUGGCAGCGCUUCCCGUGUCUGUUAGCAGGGAAAGCGGACAUCUGUUGGUCGGCCUGCGCGAAGCUCGCGGUGAUGGGGAUGCCUUCGACUUGGCUCGUGACUCCAAUGCUAUGCGUUUGAUUUUGAGCCAUUCGGGGCACCCUCUGGAACUGGUAGACAUUGUUAAUGUCGCCGUUAGCGUGCCAGCGCCGAAUAUCAUAUACCCAGGGCAACCAAAUCCGGCCCAAGUGUAUCCCGUCCCGGUGCCAAAUCCGGCGCCCCAAUAAGCCUCUCCAUCUGCUUCCCCACCAUAUUCGCACGCAUUUCCCCCUGAAUUCUGUGCUUAACCAGUGUUUCGAUUUGCGUGAUAGAGAAUUUUCGUCGUUAAUUUUUCUUCUCUCUGGUUGGCAUACAUUAUAUGUAGGUGGUGGUUAUUUAUGAUCGUAACUGUCGCGCUCCCCUGUUGUUUUGUUGUUUUUUAAGAAAAAUUUGAUUUAAACUAACACUGCGGUUUUACACGGUAUGAUGAAUAACGGAAGAGUACUCGCAGGUCGAAUCUGGAUUUGAUUUGCCGGAUAAUUUAAGUCGCUCUGGUAUUUUUUUGAUUGUCGAUUUUAUUCAUACCCAACACCUUGGUUUUUGGCGCGUGCUGUGGCUUGCUGCUUCUUUGAUUUGUUCUCCAUUUGGUAAUUUUGGUUGUUCACCCUUUGAUAAAACCAGUCAAAUACCGCGUUUCCCGGGUUGUUGUUGUUGUUGUGUUCGGUUCUCUCAGCUUUAGUGCAGUUGCUGCGUUAAAUGGUGGCGGAUUAAUCUAUCCGGUCAUAGCUUGUAAACUGUAUAUCCUUAACUUUUCCCAAAGUUCCAAAUAUUUAGUAAAAAUUAGAAACCCGCAAGGUCAUCUAUUUUUCUAAUAUUAAAAUAAACUGGAACUUUUUAUUGUAAAAUGAAGUAAAAUUGUUCAUAAUUAUCAGAAAGUUUCAUGGAUAUGCUGGUUAAAUUAAAAUGAAAUUACAUAAUUACUUUAACAGAAAAUGAGUUUUUAGUACUUUUCAUUAUUUUACUUUGGAAUCAAUCCACACGCGCAACCAUUAUAGAAAGAGUUAUUUGUUAUGCUGCUGUAAUAUUCUGAGUCGAGAAAAAUUCAUUCCUCCAAAAACAACUUUUUGUACGUUUUCCGCAAAACAGCUGCCCGAAUAAUUCCAGCAGUAAUAUACGCUGUAUACCUAUCGUCCCAAAAUUGUCCUGCGUGGUUUAUUUUUGUUUGUUUAUUUCCGGUUCCUUGUGUCUCUCUAAUUGCAUGCCCUGUCACCUUGUGUGUUUCAUUAUAGGUCCCAAAUUUAGAGAGCAUCUGCAUGAUAAUAACAAAAACUUGUGACAAAUUCUGUGUUUCUGCAUGUUUUAACAGUAAGUGCACGAGCUGUCAGUGUAUAUAUGAAUGUUUGUUGUGACGGUCUGAUUAACGACGUCGUGCGUGACCUUUCUUCCUUCCUUUAAUCCUUCUCCUGGUUUGGGACUUUCCUAUUUUUUCUGUGGGAUAUUUUGUUGCUUUUUAUGUUGGCGUUUUCAUUUGUUCCACACAGAAAACUUGACAAUGGGUGGCGGCAAGAAGAAAGUCGAAGCCAAAAAUCAUUAAGCGCAGCGCUGUUAUAUUAUUUUACACGCGAUCCUGUGUCAUUUUUGUUGCAAAUUAUUCGGCAUAAUCAAAUCCCUCCUCGAUGAUGAAACCAUACCCUCUUUGCAAACCUGAUCUGAUGUUGGAAAAUUAUAUAUAUAUCGUCCAUAAAAAACCAUGCCAAAAAAACCUGGAAAAAAGCACUGGAGAAUUUGUAUCCGAUGUUAAAUCUCCCUUGUGCUACGUUUUCGAACUGUUGUUUCGGCGGCGCGCCAAAACCCGGCGCUCGGCGCGCCAGUUAUCUUCCCGGCGGCGCGCCAAAACCACGGUGGAUUAUCAUCAUGCAGAAUGAGUUUUUCGUUGUGGUUCUGUUUUUUUUUCUUCGGCGGAAACAGAUCGUCCGAGCUGUUGUCCGCGGUAGCGUUGCGUUUUUCCACUGUGUGCCUCGGCUGUUUUAUUUAAAUAAUGUUAAUAUUAUUAUUAUUAGUGUUAGAUACUGUACCGGCUCUGUUGAAUGAUAACCACCGGAAGUGCUUCCAUUUGGUGCCUUAGUUAAUACUGCAGUAGCGUGGUGAAAUGUAUAGCUAGUGCUGCUCUUAUAUGCUCCCGGUUUGUUCUUUAGU